UACCCCACCUAGAAACGGCUUC
rnacentral:miRNA from 1 species